UUUCCUACGGGUGGCAGCAGUGGGGAAUAUUGGACAAUGGGCGCAAGCCUGAUCCAGCCAUGCCGCGUGUGUGAAGAAGGCCUUCGGGUUGUAAAGCACUUUUGUUCGGGAAGAAAUCGUGCGGGCUAAUACCCAGUACGGAUGACGGUACCGAAAGAAUAAGCACCGGCUAACUUCGUGCCAGCAGCCGCGGUAAUACGAAGGGUGCAAGCGUUACUCGGAAUCACUGGGCGUAAAGCGUGCGUAGGCGGUUGGUUAAGUCUGCUGUGAAAGCCCUGGGCUCAACCUGGGAACUGCAGUGGAUACUGGCUAGCUAGAGUGUGAUAGAGGAUGGUGGAAUUCCCGGUGUAGCGGUGAAAUGCGUAGAGAUCGGGAGGAACACCAGUGGCGAAGGCGGCCAUCUGGAUCAACACUGACGCUGAGGCACGAAAGCGUGGGGAGCAAACAGGAUUAGAUACCCUUGUAGUCC
rnacentral:rRNA from 1 species